rnacentral:rRNA from 1 species
GACGAACGCUGGCGGCGUGCUUAACACAUGCAAGUCGAACGAUGAAGCCAGCUUGCUGGUGGAUUAGUGGCGAACGGGUGAGUAACACGUGGGUGAUCUGCCCCAAACUUUGGGAUAAGCCUGGGAAACUGGGUCUAAUACCGAAUAUUACCUUCUCCUGCAUGGGGGUUGGUGGAAAGCUCCGGCGGUUUGGGAUGGGCCCGCGGCCUAUCAGCUUGUUGGUGGGGUAAUGGCCUACCAAGGCGACGACGGGUAGCCGGCCUGAGAGGGCGACCGGCCACACUGGGACUGAGACACGGCCCAGACUCCUACGGGAGGCAGCAGUGGGGAAUAUUGCACAAUGGGCGCAAGCCUGAUGCAGCGACGCCGCGUGGGGGAUGAAGGCCUUCGGGUUGUAAACUCCUUUCGCCAUUGACGAAGCCCUUUGGGGUGACGGUAGGUGGAGAAGAAGCACCGGCUAACUACGUGCCAGCAGCCGCAGUAAAAC